GGUCUCUCAGCCACGCCUCCUCCUCUCAAUCUACCUUCCUUGCCCCUCCCACUGGAUUCCCCUGACACCGGAUUUCUCUCUCCAGUGUCCCUGAGCCCGGGGCACAAGUAUCACUUUCUUCCUAAACUGUCCCUGGAGCGGGGCCAGUUAUGCAUGCUGCCUGCCACUGUUGUCAGUGCACACUUCCAGAGGUUUCUGUGGAAUUCAGGCUUCAGUAAACACUCGAGGAGGAGGAAGCGGGCCAAGAAAUGAGAAAGCCGGGAGGGAGAAAUAUGAAGACUGAACUGUGCCCUGCACCAGCCUCCGCCCCCAAGCUAAGGAAUGCAAAAGAGAAUCGCCAGUAGCCGUGAGCGUUCCCUUCAGAGCCGCCGCCGGUCAUGAAACCCCAUCAUCGCUUCAAUUGCUCUAUUUUAAAGGAUCUGUUGGAGAGGAUUUGGCUCGAAGAUUCUAAACUCUCUUUAGCUCCACGCCUCCAUCACUGCUGAGCUGAGAAUUUCAUAAUGACAAAGACGAGGAGAAUCUUAGAAAUCAUCUGGCUCAGAGAUUCUCCAUUGUUUAGACUUUAUCAAAACUGGAAGUUUGAAAACUGAAGAGGGAGCGGGAGAUGUCUGAGAGCUUUUCGUCUGGAAAACCACAAAUAUCAAAUGCACACAGCUAUCUUGUGCUGCAGCCAUCGCUUUACGUUCAUAGAUCAAAAAGACGGAGGAUGGUUUCAUUCUCUCAGUGAGGUGGCCUUAAACAGAGGACUUGCAGCACACAAAUGGACACACUUUACACGGGGACAUGGUGGCACAUGCCUGUAGUCCCAGCACUUGAAGGCGGAGGCAGGGGGAUCAGGCACUCACAGUCACCCUCUGUUACACAGCAAGUUCAAGGCCAGCUCAGCUUUAUUCACGCUUUUCUCCUUGUUCCACGCAUUAGCGCCAGACAGAGGGCAGGCAUUCGAAAUCCACUGCUCUGCUUCGCUGCUUUUGUUUGUCUUUGAGACAGGGUUCUCUGUGUAGCCCUGGCUGUCCUGGAACUCACUCUGUAGACCAGGCUGCCCUCAAAUUCACAGAGAUCCACCUGCGUCUACCUCCAGAGUGCUGGGAUUAAAGGCGUGUAACAUUAAUGCUGGUGGUUUGCUGCAUACACACACACACACACACACACACACACACAUAUGUAGUAGCACAAUGCCUGCAUUAUGCGCUACAGCACGGUUUGUGAGUAGGGCAAGGGUCUGGAGACUGAAACACACACACAGACACAGAUAAUGCCGAGACUGCCUCUUUAUUGUGUUCUAGGGCAGCUUAUAUAGGGUCUCCUUCCAUGCCCUAACUCUCAGCUGCAAGCUCACCAGAAACUACUCCCCUGCAAUCAGGAACUCCUGAGGGUCUCGUGCUCAGAGCAGCUGCAAAACAAGUUGUUUGCUCAGAGCAGCUGCAAGCAUAGGAAAACAAGUUUUGUACUCCAGCAGGCAGGGGGUCACAGUCCCCAUCUAUCUAUCUAUGUAUCUAUGUAUCUAUGUAUCUAUGUAUCUAUGUAUCUAUGUAUCUAUCUAUGUAUCUAUCUAUGUAUCUA